GACAGAGGGUGCAAGCGUUGUUCGGAAUUACUGGGCGUAAAGCGCGUGUAGGCGGUUAUGCAAGUCGGGUGUGAAAGCCCGGAGCUCAACCCCGGAAGUGCAUUCGAUACUGCGUAGCUAGAGUACUGGAGAGGAUGGUGGAACUCUCGGUGUAGAGGUGAAAUUCGUAGAUAUCGGGAGGAACACCAGUGGCGAAGGCGACUACCUGGCCUGUUCUUGACGCUGAGGCGCGAAAGCUAGGGGAGCAAACGGG
rnacentral:rRNA from 1 species